AGGGCUUUCCCCUUCGGGGGACAGAGUGACAGGUGGUGCAUGGUUGUCGUCAGCUCGUGUCGUGAGAUGUUGGGUUAAGUCCCGCAACGAGCGCAACCCUUGAUCUUAGUUGCCAGCAUUCAGUUGGGCACUCUAAGAUGACUGCCGGUGACAAACCGGAGGAAGGUGGGGAUGACGUCAAAUCAUCAUGCCCCUUAUGACCUGGGCUACACACGUGCUACAAUGGACGGUACAAAGGGCAGCGAGACCGCGAGGUUUAGCCAAUCCCAUAAAACCGUUCUCAGUUCGGAUUGCAGGCUGCAACUCGCCUGCAUGAAGCUGGAAUCGCUAGUAAUCGCGGAUCAGCAUGCCGCGGUGAAUACGUUCCCGGGUCUUGUACACACCGAA
rnacentral:rRNA from 1 species